rnacentral:rRNA from 1 species
UGGCGGACGGGUGAGUAAUGUCUGGGAAACUGCCUGAUGGAGGGGGGAUAACUACUGGAAACGGUAGCUAAUACCGCAUAAUGUCGCAAGACCAAAGAGGGGGGACCUUCGGGCCUCUUGCCAUCGGAUGUGCCCAGAUGGGAUUAGCUUGUUGGUGGGGGUAACGGGCUCACCAAGGCGACGAUCCCUAGCUGGUCUGAGAGGAUGACCAGCCACACUGGAACUGAGACACGGUCCAGACUCCUACGGGAGGCAGCAUG